CCUACGGGAGGCAGCAGUGGGGAAUAUUGGACAAUGGGCGCAAGCCUGAUCCAGCCAUGCCGCGUGAGUGAUGACGGCCUUAGGGUUGUAAAGCUCUUUCGCUCGGGACGAUAAUGACGGUACCGAGAUAAGAAGCCCCGGCUAACUUCGUGCCAGCAGCCGCGGUAAUACGAAGGGGGCUAGCGUUGUUCGGAAUUACUGGGCGUAAAGCGCGUGUAGGCGGGUCUUUAAGUCAGGGGUGAAAUGCCAAGGCUCAACCUUGGAACUGCCUUUGAUACUGGAGACCUUGAGUCCGGGAGAGGUGAGUGGAAUUGCGAGUGUAGAGGUGAAAUUCGUAGAUAUUCGCAAGAACACCAGUGGCGAAGGCGGCUCACUGGCCCGGAACUGACGCUGAGACGCGAAAGCGUGGGGAGCAAACAGGAUUAGAUACCCUGGUAGUCCACGCUGUAAACGAUGGAUGCUAGCCGUUGGGGAGCUUGCUCUUCAGUGGCGCAGCUAACGCUUUAAGCAUCCCGCCUGGGGAGUACGGUCGCAAGAUUAAAACUCAAAGGAAUUGACGG
rnacentral:rRNA from 1 species